UACGUAGGGGGCAAGCGUUGUCCGGAUUUAUUGGGCGUAAAGAGCGGUGUAGGCGGCUCGGGUAAGUCCGCUGUGAAAGUCCAGGGCUCAACCCCUGGAAUGCCAGUGGGAAACUGUCGAGCUAGAGUCCGGAAGAGGCGAGUGGAAUUCCUGGUGUAGCGGGUGAAAUGCGCAGAUAUCAAGGAGGAACACCAAGUGGCGAAGGCAG
rnacentral:rRNA from 1 species